rnacentral:tRNA from 1 species
GGCUGGAUAGCUCAGUUGGUAGAGCAAUGGACUGAAAAUCCAUGUGUCCGCGGUUCGAGUCCGCGUCCAGCCA